rnacentral:lncRNA from 1 species
CCGCGCUGGUCCCAAAGAGGAGCAUGAGCUCAGGGUUUGUUUCCGUCACCUGGAAGGCAAUCGUCAGAGCCUGCCAUGUGUGCAUGUGGAUGUCUCUGUGUAUUUUGAGAACACUUUUAAAAGGGAAGCAGCCAAAGUAUUUUUAUUGCUCAGCAGGCACUGUUUCAUGUUGGAGUGUUGGAAAGAAACAGAAGAGAAAGAAAAGAGAGGGAGGAGAAGAUUUAAGACCAGCGCACAGAUUGAAAUGGUUAAUGCGUUCUCGGGCUGGAGAACAAGCGCUCUGAGUACUGAAGACUCCUCCCAUCUCCACGUCUCCAAAUGUCCCCACGUAAAUUCCAGGAUCCACACAUCAGAGGCGCCUGCCACCGAGCUGGGCGUGAACUCUGAAGACCAGACGGAAUUUCGCUCUUGUUACCCAGGCUGGAGUGCAAUGGCGCGAUCUCGGCUCACCGCAACCUCUGCCUCCUGGGAUCAGGCAAUUCUCCUGCCUCAGCCUCCUGAGUAGCUGGGAUUACAGGCACGCGCCACCGUGCCCAGCUAAUUUUCUGAUUUUUGGUAGAAACGGGGUUUCACCUUGUUGACCAGGAUGGUCUGGAUCUCUUGACCUCGUGAUCCACCCACCUCGGCCUCCCAAAGUGCUGGGAUUACAGGCGUGAGCCACCGCGCCCGGCCCCACCACCAAACACUUUAGUCAAGCUUUGCGUCUGGACGAAGCUACUGUUUAUUAUAGAGCAUCAUCUACAUUUCCCUGAAUUUCGCGCAUUGGAAAGGGUUAAGGGUAAUUUAUAGAAGACCUACAUGACUGGGCACUUUAACAGAUGUUAUCUAUAAGUGAAACUUUGCAAGGCACCGUGCUAAGCAUUUCUCACCGUUAUCCGAUUUAAUCCUAACAGUCGUCCUGUAUGGUGGGUAUUAUUUUCCUCACGUUUCAGAGACGGAUGCAAAAUGCUAGAGCGUUUACAGGACUUGCCCAAGCUCACACAGCCCGGUGUUCCAGCCAUGAUUUCAACCUGGUUCCCCAGGUACUUCCCAACACGCCUGUCUUUGCAAAUGUCUGUGAGCAAUGGAAAAGGGAAAAUUUCCAAUGAUUAGGAAAAGAGAAACUCAACAGUGCAAAGCCAAAGUGUUCAUUCCUUUGUGGAUGAAGAAAUGAAGCCUUUGAAAGCCCAUCCGUUCCUCCCUCAGGCUGAUGUGAGCUCAGCCCUGCCAGGACCCCAUGGACUUCCUCCCUGGCCUCUGCUGAGAUCUGCAUAAUGCCUGCUCGGCUACCUGAGCACCUUCUCUGCCUAAGUUAUGGGUGUGUUUGUUGCACUUAGAUCAUAAAUCUCCACCCCCAGGACAUUUCAGUUCUGGUGUUUAUUGACCAAAGACAACUUGUGUUAAAAAAUGUUUUGAGAUUUUGCCAGAUAAUCACUACAGAAUAUUUGAGAAAACACUGUGUCCUCUGGUAAAUGAAAUCCGCAAGUAGUUGAGUUUGCUACUGAGGUAAAUACCUUCCCUGUCUACUGUUUAUGGCCUUGUUUUAUUUUGUUUUGUUUCAAAAGAAGAGGCAGAUUUUUCCUAUGUGUCUCUUUACCUUCUCCUGAACUCAUCAAGGGAGAAUGGAGAAGAGGAAUUGUCAAAAUAUGUUUCCCUCGGGGCCUAGAAGAGUUUUUGAUUCUUUUGAACCAGAACUUUUGGCCACGUGCAUCUCAGAAGCAUUCAGGUGGCAAAACACCUGGAGGAGAACUGUGAAAGAUAAAUGACUUCGAUGUAUAAAAAACCAAAGAUGUAAAUGUGAGCUCAAUCUGAUGCUGACACCAGAUUCUAGUAUAGACAUGCUUAAGACUUUAAAGAACAGUAUUGGAGAAAAAGUUUAGAAAACUCGUCAAUAAGCUUUGCUUAGCAUGAGCACAUGUGUGUCCUUGUGCAUGGCUGUGAAGAUCUAGAAAAUACUGUCAAUGGACCAUGUUAAUGAAGACUUAUCCACUUUAAAAAAAAAUAGUGUUUCUACCCAGAACAUAGUUGAUAACAGUUGCUUUAGAUAAAGGUUUCAAAAAUUCUCAAGGCAACAGGACUCAAGAAAGUCAGAGAGGCAAGGUUAGUAUAAGAAAAUAUAGAAACCACCACACACCUACAACCAUCUGAUCUUUGACAAACCUGACAAAAACAAGCAAUGGGGAAAGAAUUUCCUGUUUAAUAAAUGGUGUUGGGAAAACUGGCUGACCAUGUGCAGAAAGCUGAAAUUGGACCCCUUCCUUAGACCUUAUACAAAAAUUAAUUCCAUAUGGAUUAAAGAUUUGCAUGUAAAACCUAACACCAUAAAAACCCUAGAAGAAAACCUAGGCAAUACCUAGGCAGGACAUAGGCGUAGGCAAGGACUUCAUGAUUAAAACACAAAAAGCAAUGGCACCGAAAGCCAAAACAGACAAACAGAAUCUAAUUAAACUUAAAAGCUUCUGCACAGCAAAGAAACAACCAUUUGAGUGAACCAGCAACCAAUAGAAAAAAUUUUUGCAAGCUACCCAACCGACAAAGGGCUGAUAUCCAGAAUCCGCAAAGAACUAAAACAAAUAUGAGGAAAAAAACAAACAACCCCAUCAAAAAGUGGGCAAAGGAUAUGAACAGUUUUCAAAAGAAGA